UACGAAGGGGGCUAGCGUUGCUCGGAAUCACUGGGCGUAAAGCGCACGUAGGCGGAUCUUUAAGUCAGGGGUGAAAUCCUGGAGCUCAACUCCAGAACUGCCUUUGAUACUGGGGAUCUCGAGUCCGGGAGAGGUGAGUGGAACUGCGAGUGUAGAGGUGAAAUUCGUAGAUAUUCGCAAGAACACCAGUGGCGAAGGCGGGUCUCUGGACAGUUCCUGACGCUGAGGCACGAAGGUCAGGGGAGCAAACGGG
rnacentral:rRNA from 1 species